rnacentral:rRNA from 1 species
UACCAGCUCUUCGAGUGGUGUGGAUGUUUAUUGGGCCUAAAGCAUCCGUAGCUGGCUGGGCAAGUCCCCUGUUAAAUCCACCGAUUUAAUCGUUGGAGUGCGGGGGAUACUGUUCGGCUAGGGGGCGGGAGAGGCAGACGGUAUUUUCGGGGUAGGGGUGAAAUCCUAUAAUCCCGAGAAGACCACCAGUGGCGAAGGCUGUCUGCUAGAACGCGCCCGACGGUGAGGGAUGAAAGCUGGGGGAGCGAACCGGAUUAGAUACCCGGGUAGUCCCAGCUGUAAACGGUGCAGGCUAGGUGUUUGACGGCCACGUGCCGUUCUAGUGCCGCAGGGAAGCCGUUAAGCCUGCCGCCUGGGGAGUACGGCCGCAAGGCUGAAACUUAAAGGAAUUGGCGGGGGAGCACCACAAGGGGUGAAGCUUGCGGUUU